GUGAGUAGUUCAGAGUUUGAUCCUGGCUCAGGAUUAACGCUGGCGGCGUGCAUAACACAUUCAAGUCGAACGGUGACGGGGCUUCGGCCCCUGAUCAGUGGCGGACGGGUGAGUAACGCGUGAGCAAUCUACCUUCCAGUACGGAAUAACAACCGGAAACAGUUGCUAAUACCGUAUGAAAUAGCAGCUUCGCAUGGAGCAACUAUCAAAGAUUUAUUGCUGGAAGAUGAGCUUGCGUCCGAUUAGAUAGUUGGCGGGGUAACGGCCCACCAAGUCGACGAUCGGUAGCCGGACUGAGAGGUUGAACGGCCACAUUGGAACUGAGAUACGGUCCAG
rnacentral:rRNA from 1 species